GAGGAGUUAGUUAACUUAUAACAUCACCUUGUCAAGAUGAAAUAAUGGGUUAAACCCCCAUACACCUCU
rnacentral:tRNA from 1 species